CCCGCCUCCCCGGGCCCUCCGGUGAGCCCGCGGAGCCCUGUAGACUCCGCCUUCUCGAGGGCUCGGCGUUGCUAGCUGCGGCGAACUUCUUUCCCCCCAAAGCGAGAGUCAGGAAGUAGAAAGGCUUCCUCUGAGUGUUCUCGUCGGUUCUGUUUUGGAAGCCUCAGAAUCUUCUGGGUACUCAGAUUGCUGCAAAGUACAAGCUGUACUUCGUUGGGCCCGGAGAGGCACCGGCUUUUGGAGGACUCUGGCUCGCUUCCGGGCUCCGCCCCGUGCUGGCUGCGGACCUGGCAGAAGAGCCUUUUUAUCUAAGUGUCCAUGUCUGGAAGGGACAGUAGUCUACCUAGAGCUGUUCUGAGCCCAGAGUAGAAAUUGUGUGGUGCUAAAUAGCUGUUCACCUUCCUUACACUGGAAAGCGGUGUAAUGAUUAACCGACCCAACCUGUCGAGAAUAUUUCCGGAAAUCUUUUAAGAGAGGUUACGUUUAUUGAUUUCUGAGUAUUAGGCAAUGUUCCAAAAGCUUUUAAAAUCCUAGUAGCAACCCUAUGAAAUCGGAAAUUACCCUCGUUUUACAACUGUGUCUCCUUCCUUUUAUGAUUUUGUGAGUAAAGAAUUUUAAUUUGCCAGCCAGGCACGGUGGCUCAGUCCUGUAAUCCCAGCACUUUGGAGGCCAAGGCCGGCAGAUCACCUGAGGUUGGGAGUUCGAGACCAGCCUAGCCAACAUGGAGAAACCCUGUCUCUACUAAAAAUACAAAAUUAGCUGGGCAUGGUGACACAUACCUAUAAUCCCAGCUACUCGGAGGGCUGAGGCCGAAGAAUCAGUUGAACCUGGGAGUUGGAAGUUGCAGGUGAGCCAAGAUUGCACCACUGCACUCCAGCCUGGGCAACAAGAAGGAAACUCCAUCUCAAAAAAAAAGAAUUUUAAUUUUCCAACAGAUCCUAAUGUGGACUUUUUCAAGUUGUGAAAUAAAGUGAUUUUUGGUAUGAAAA